AUUGAACGCUGGCGGCAGGCCUAACACAUGCAAGUCGAGCGAGCGGCGGACGGGUGAGUACUGUAUGGGGACUGCCCGAUAGAGGGGGAUAACUACUGGAAACGGUAGCUAAUACCGCAUACUAUCGGAUAACCCAUAUGGGAUUAGCUAGUAGGUGAGGUAAUGGCUCACCAAGGCAACGAUCCAUAGCUGGUUUGAGAGGACGACCAGCCACAAUGGAACUGAGACACGGCCCAGACUCCUACGGAGGCAGCAGUGGGGAAUUUUGGACAAUGGGGGAAACCCUGAUCCAGCCAUGCCGCGUGUAUGAAGAAGGCCUUCGGGUUGUAAAGUACUUUUGGCAGAGAAGCGGUAUCUGCAGAAUAAGCACCGGCUAACUACGUGCCAGCAGCCGCGGUAAUUC
rnacentral:rRNA from 1 species